GCGCAGGUCAGGGCGGUUUUCGCUACUACCUUGACACGGUAGAGGUCACUGGUUCAAUCCCAGUAUCGCGCACCA
rnacentral:tRNA from 1 species